UACGUAGGGUGCAAGCGUUGUCCGGAAUUAUUGGGCGUAAAGAGCUCGUAGGCGGUUUGUCACGUCUGCUGUGAAAACUGGAGGCUCAACCUCCAGCUUGCAGUGGGUACGGGCAGACUAGAGUGCGGUAGGGGAGAUUGGAAUUCCUGGUGUAGCGGUGGAAUGCGCAGAUAUCAGGAGGAACACCGGUGGCGAAGGCGGCUCACUGGCUCAUUUCUGACGCUCAGGCGCGACAGCGUGGGGAGUCAAACAGGAAUUCAGAUU
rnacentral:rRNA from 1 species